CCUCAUGUUGACGUUCUGUCAGGUUUCUCCUCAGUUCCCUCAUGUUGACGUUCUGUCAGUUCCCUCAUGUUGACGUUCUGUCAGGUUUCUCCUCAGUUCCCUCAUGUUGACGUUCUGUCAGGUUCCUUCAUGUUGACAUUCUAUCAGGUUUCUCCUCAGUUCCCUCAUGUUGACGUUCUGUCAGGUUCCUUCAUGUUGACGUUCUAUCAGGUUUCUCCUCAGUUCCUUCAUGUUGACGUUCUAUCAGGUUUCUCCUCAGUUCCCUCAUGUUGACGUUCUGUCAGGUUCCUUCAUGUUGACGUUCUAUCAGGUUUCUCCUCAGUUCCCUCAUGUUGACGUUCUGUCAGGUUCCUUCAUGUUGAC
ensembl:lncRNA